UACGGGGGGGGCAAGCGUUGUUCGGAAUUACUGGGCGUAAAGGGCGCGUAGGCGGUGCUCUAAGUCGGAUGUGAAAACUCUGGGCUCAACCAGAGCCUGCAUCCGAAACUGGAGUGCUAGAGUUCUGGAGGGGGUAGCGGAAUUCCUGGUGUAGCGGUGAAAUGCGUAGAUAUCAGGAGGAACACCCAUUGCGAAGGCAGCUCGCUACACCGGCAUUGACACUGAGGCACGAAAGCGUGGGGAUCAAACAGG
rnacentral:rRNA from 1 species